GGUUAAGUGACUAAGCGUACACGGUGGAUGCCUUGGCAGUCAGAGGCGAUGAAGGACGUAGUAACUUGCGAUAAGCGUAGAUGAGGCAGUAACAGCCACUUGAGUCUACGAUUUCCGAAUGGGGAAACCCACUGGCAUAAGCCAGUAUCAUUGAGUGAAUACAUAGCUCAAUGAAGCGAACCGGGAGAACUGAAACAUCUAAGUACCCCGAGGAAAAGAAAUCAACCGAGAUUCCGAAAGUAGCGGCGAGCGAAAUUGGAUUAGCCCUUAAGCUUUACAUGUGUUAGACGAACGGUCUGGAAAGUCCGACGAUACAGGGUGAUAGUCCCGUAGUUGUAGAUGCAUGUUCAGUGAAAUCGAGUAGGGCGGGACACGUGUUAUCCUGUCUGAAUAUGGGGGGACCAUCCUCCAAGGCUAAAUACUCCUGACUGACCGAUAGUGAACCAGUACCGUGAGGGAAAGGCGAAAAGAACCCCUGUGAGGGGAGUGAAAUAGAACCUGAAACCGUGUACGUACAAGCAGUAGGAGCACCUUCGUGGUGUGACUGCGUACCUUUUGUAUAAUGGGUCAGCGACUUAUAUUCAGUGGCAAGGUUAACCAUCUAGGGGAGCCGUAGGGAAACCGAGUCUUAACUGGGCGCCAUAGUCUCUGGAUAUAGACCCGAAACCGAGUGAUCUAGCCAUGGGCAGGUUGAAGGUUGAGUAACAUCAACUGGAGGACCGAACCGACUAAUGUUGAAAAAUUAGCGGAUGACUUGUGGCUAGGGGUGAAAGGCCAAUCAAACUCGGAGAUAGCUGGUUCUCCCCGAAAGCUAUUUAGGUAGCGCCUCGGACGAAUACUACUGGGGGUAGAGCACUGUUAAGGCUAGGGGGUCAUCCCGACUUACCAACCCUUUGCAAACUCCGAAUACCAGUAAGUACUAUCCGGGAGACACACGGCGGGUGCUAACGUCCGUCGUGGAGAGGGAAACAACCCAGACCGCCAGCUAAGGUCCCAAAUUACAGCUAAGUGGGAAACGAUGUGGGAAGGCUUAGACAGCUAGGAUGUUGGCUUAGAAGCAGCCAUCAUUUAAAGAAAGCGUAAUAGCUCACUAGUCGAGUCGGCCUGCGCGGAAGAUGUAACGGGGCUAAGUUGUAAACCGAAGCUGCGGCAAUGUUCUUUGAACAUUGGGUAGGGGAGCGUUCUGUAAGCCGUUGAAGGUGUGUUGUAAAGCAUGCUGGAGGUAUCAGAAGUGCGAAUGCUGACAUGAGUAACGACAAGGGGGGUGAAAAACCUCCCCGCCGGAAGACCAAGGGUUCCUGUCCAACGUUAAUCGGGGCAGGGUAAGUCGACCCCUAAGGCGAGGCCGAAAGGCGUAGUCGAUGGGAAACGGGUUAAUAUUCCCGUACUUCUUACAAUUGCGAUGGGGGGACGGAGAAGGCUAGGUGGGCCUGGCGACGGUUGUCCAGGUUCAAGUGCGUAGGCUGAGUGUUUAGGUAAAUCCGGACACUCUUAAGGCUGAGACACGACGUCGAGCUACUACGGUAGUGAAGUCAUUGAUGCCAUGCUUCCAGGAAAAGCCUCUAAGCUUCAGAUUGUAAGGAAUCGUACCCCAAACCGACACAGGUGGUCGGGUAGAGAAUACCAAGGCGCUUGAGAGAACUCGGGUGAAGGAACUAGGCAAAAUGGUACCGUAACUUCGGGAGAAGGUACGCUCUUGAUGGUGAAGUCCCUUGCGGAUGGAGCUGACGAGAGUCGCAGAUACCAGGUGGCUGCAACUGUUUAUUAAAAACACAGCACUGUGCAAAAUCGUAAGAUGACGUAUACGGUGUGACGCCUGCCCGGUGCCGGAAGGUUAAUUGAUGGGGUUAGCGUAAGCGAAGCUCUUGAUCGAAGCCCCGGUAAACGGCGGCCGUAACUAUAACGGUCCUAAGGUAGCGAAAUUCCUUGUCGGGUAAGUUCCGACCUGCACGAAUGGCGUAAUGAUGGCCACGCUGUCUCCACCCGAGACUCAGUGAAAUUGAAAUCGCUGUGAAGAUGCAGUGUACCCGCGGCUAGACGGAAAGACCCCGUGAACCUUUACUACAGCUUGGCACUG
rnacentral:rRNA from 1 species